GUUUGUUUUGUUCAUGUGUGGAGAGGUGGUUGCAGUCAGUGAUGAUUUUACAACACGCUGUCUCCUGCUGUUUAAAGGAUUUAGGCUGGGAUGAAAUGUUUUCUAAUAAUUUGUGAGUUUUGUGUUUGUUUAUUACCUGCACGGAGUUCCGUGAAAAGGAAAGCAUCCCUUUUCUGUGUUGAAUUUCACACACAGAGCGGAGCGCGUCAGUCGCAGCUACAGACAAGUCGAGCUUUUCAAUGAGAUGAUUUACUGAGAAACAAACGCGUUGAAGCUCCAGCAGAGCUCUGCGCGAUUCUGAAAGACCAAAGUAAAGUUACUCCUUGCAAAGCAUGUUGUUUGUGUUCUUUCUUUAUUACACCAGAAGAAGUGAUGAAUAUAUUUGAAUGGGAAGGCUACAGUAAAAAAUAAAUAUUACUAAAUACAAACCGCAGGCGGUGUUUCUGAUUGAAAAGAGGAUUCCGCUAGACCAGUGUGAAACUCAAACCAGUGAAGAUGGACGCGUCAGCGUGUCCGUGUCGCUCUUUCAAGACGAGCUCGCCUCUACCAUCGAGCACGCAGUGAAAGCGGCUCUACACACCGUCUUUUGUGCGAUUACUAAAGCUGUCGGCAGCAAAUUCACUGAAUUCAGAGUGGAAAUGGAACAAAAAGGAAAAAGAGAAUGAAAGUCUGAAGCUGAGAUUGGAAAUAUCAGAGAACGAGCUGAAAGCUGUGCGAGGGUGUAUAAACGCUGCAGAUGCAGACAUUAAACAGCCUUUAAUAUUUCAAGGUAAGAUUGAUUUUAUUGUGUGGUAUUGCUUGGUCAAUCCAGCACCUUAAACUACCUUCUGUUGGAAAGAUCUUGGUUAGAAUUUCUCUUCGGACACGUUUUAAAGUGUUUGAUUAUUAUAAGCGUUGUUAAUAACACAGUUCUGUCCUAAUAUUGGCUAGAAGGAGUCUAAUCAAGGCAUUGUAUUAUUUUAUAUAUUUAAAUAGGUAGUCUAGAAAUUAAUAAAGUACUAGAUUGGUAAAUCUUAGCCAGUCUAAUUUAAGAGCCUUCAAUGGUAUCCUUCUGGUAAAGUGAUGUCUUGUAUAGAGUCCCACUGAGACAGUCACAGACCAUAUUGCAGAGGGUUAGAAUAAUGAUUUGUGAUUUAAUAUCAACAUACAGGCAGCAGCACAUGGGGUUUCAGUGUUUGAUUGAACUGUUUGACUGCGAAUCUAUUGUUAGAUAAAUGGUUUCAUUGUAUUCCGCUCCAGUGCUGUUGAGUUUGUCUUUGGUACAGUCGCGGCGCAUUCGCUGCUCGUUCUUUUGCUUUAGUCCCGUUUCCUUCUUGUUCCACACACACACAUUUACACGAUCUUUCCAGACCUCACUGUGUGAAUAAAGGGGCGGCAGCAGCACCCUGCCUGCACCAAUCCGCUGUAAGAUUUUGGACCCGAGUGGUUCCACAAGUUCAAUUAAGGGUUGAAGUUGGAGGAAGUAAAUACAACACAGUAAGGUGUCAACUGAAUUGUAUCAUUUUAUUGAGUCUCUAGAUUGAGUCUCUAAAUAAAGUACUUUGUUCAGCUGAUGGUUAAACGGAAUUAGGAAACGGUCGCUCAUAUUGCUUAUAAACAUUUACUAAUACAGGUUAUUAUUUAAGAGCAGAGAUGAGUUUGCACAGGAUACAUACAAUAGGGAGAGCCACACCAUUACAAAUGUAUUUUAAUACUACAAGGGAUGUUAUUGGAUUUAUAUCUACAGUUCACGUGACGUUGCACAAGUAAGCUUCCAGUGUUGUUGCUAAUGAUUAUUACACAGGUGGAGUUUGUACAAAAAACAUAUUGCUGCACUUUAAAAAGUUUGAGUUGUGUAAAUCACGUGUUUAAAUGAAACUGCUUUGAGAAUAAGCAGGCUAUCCUGCUGCAGUCGCUUGUCUGCUCAUUGUAUUUGACACAUUGAAACUUGUAUUCUGCGUUGACCGUUUCCUUCAAAACCGUUCUCACAGUACAGUAUCAGGUAACAAAAAGACAUUCCUUAGACACUUUGCUAAGACUGCAAGUCUCCUGGCUUGGUUUCUAAGCAUGUUUGCAGUAGAGAAAUGGAUGUUUGCAUUAGAACAAUGCAAAGGCAGAACGGCAGUCAUGAUGGUGAUUGACAGGGAGGUAGAAGUGGAUGCAAUGCUACAGUGUGAGGCUACAGGAGGUGAGAAAGACCAGCAGCACUGAGGCUUGUUUUGUACAGGACGUAGAAUAAAAAGAUGUUCAUAUGAAAAUGCCUUUUCCUUCACUUUGUUCAUAGGAACACAGACACAGCGUUAACCGAUAAUUGCAAUGUAGAAUAACAGGAAUGGUAUCACACAUCAACAAUAAGCCGGUCCCUACACAAAGCUGGCCUGUAUGGAUGGGUGGGAAGAAAGAAGCCAUUACUCAAAAAGCAAUUGAACUACUGGUGACACAUUUGCUUUUUAUAUUUCCAUAUUUCAGCACAUGCAUCAGUGAUGUGAUAUCCAUCAAAGUUCCUUUGAAAUGCACAAUCAGGUGUUCAGUGGGAGCAGUGGUCACGCUUCAUUUGAAGUGCUGCUUGUUUAGUCUAGUAACUGUUAGCAACGAGCUCAUUAAAACUAUCAAACAUUGUUCAUUGUGUUCUUAAUGGUUGGUUAAUUAAAAAGUAACCUAUUUAUGUACUAAUAAUGUCAUAUUAUUGGAAUUGGGAGAGGUUUGUUUAAAGGAACUAUUGAAGCUAGUACUGUAGUAAUGUUUAGCAGUGAGAUCAGGUUUAGUUUUAUUACCGUAUACUCACUAGGAAUUGACGCAUGCGCUUAUACUUGAGUAUGUGCUGUUUUCUGUGCAGGUGCAGUUACUCCUUUGGUUUCAUAUAGAAGCUUAUGCACCUGCAUUUGAGUGUAAUGCAAGGUGUGGAGGCUCACAUGUUCAUAUAUUGCAUUACAAGUUAAACACCAUAUUUAUUCUUUCUCUUUGAAUUCCAAAUGUUGUAAGACGGAUAAGGGCGUCUGCUAAGAAAUAAAUAAAUAAUAAUCUUUUUAGCUUGUAAUAAUAUAAUAAUAACAUCUUUAUUUUUAUAUAGCACCUUUCAUAGUGGACCACCAUCUCACAGUGCUUUACAGAGGUAGGCUGUGAACUGUGCAUUAUAUGCAGUCACUUACAAUAGGGCAUUGAUUUAAUAAUAUAAGAAAAGUUAUGAACAAAAUCAGGGAAUUUAAUGCAUCAAUACUUUUCUAGUAGCUGACUGAUCCCUGGCUUUCAUCUAGUUGGCUUUUAAAGACAUCCUAAUGACUCUGCAGCAGCACCAUUCUAGUGACCCAUUUCAAACACUCCCAACUCUGUGAGAAGUGUCUUCUCUAAUCCUUCUUUGUUCCAGGCUAAAUAGAUUCAGUUCCCUUGUCUGUUGAUUGUUUGUUAACUCCACUGCAAGGGAUGUUGCCCAGUUGGAGGAGCACAUCAACCCGAGCCCUUUUUGACACUGGGUGUAAUAAUAAAUGUGUCAAUUAGCAGACGCUGUUAUCCAAAGCAACUACACAGACUAGGGAAUGAACUAUACACCAACAAUUUCUGCUGCAGAGUCACUUCCAAUAGGACCUUGGUUUUACAUCUCAUCCGAAGGACGGAGCACAAGGAGGUUAAGUAACUUACUUUGAGAAGAUGUGUCUCCUAACCUCUGUCCUAAGUCUGUCUCCACUUAUAACUGUGUACUCUAGUCCUUGUCUCUCUGCUGUGCUUGAAAGAGUGACUACAGUUAACUCCAACUUUUUAAAAGCUUUAGUCUCUAGUCUUUUUUUUGUUCCAGACUGAAUUGAUUUAGUUCCCUCAACUGUUCUCUCAGCAUAUUUAGGGUUGGUUGAGUGUACAAGGAAAACAACUGACUCUGGAGAGGAGUUACCAAUCAAUGCCAGCACACUGGAGAUCCAGAAUUCAGAACACAGAACCAGGGAGGGCAUUCGGCCCAUCAGUGCAGCAGCUGAUUGAUCUCAAACCUGUUAAGUCGGGUCUUAAAGGAUCCCAGCCCUAACAACAUGACUUGGUAACCCAUUCCAUCCCCUCACCAUACUCUGUGAGAAGGUGUUUCCUACCCUCUGUCCUAUGGCUAUCCACACUUAAUUUCCAACAGUGCCCUCUGACCCUGGUGUCAGUGCUAUGCUUGAGGUAUUAGUUUGGGUUAACUUUGUCAACACCUUUCAAGUUUUUAAAGACUUCAGUCAAGUCUGCCUAAUUGUUCUGUGUUCAAGCUAAACAAAUUCAGUACCCUCUUCACAGCUCGUUCCUUUAAGCCCCGGGAUUAGUCUUCAUCUUUAUGAUUGCUUCCCCGUUGCUGGUAGAAAUGAGUCUAUCACAACACCAAGGUCUUUCUCUCACACCCACUGUGUAUUUCAAUCCUACUUUUUUCCUUCUAAAAAGAGACUUAGUAAUACAAUUGUGAAAUGUUUCAAUAAGAAACAUGCACUCCACACCGUACAGCAGCUGACUGAUUUGCUAAUGAAAGAAGCAGCUCAACCACAACACCUGGUAUAAUGAACAUGUUUGUGAGCCAGGUGUUUGCAGUACUGUACUGUAGAUAUGAAAUUCCAGAGAAUGCUUCAUUUUGCAUGACUGAUAACUAAUCAUUCUUUUGCCUUUAAUACUGUAUAUGGGGCCCCCUGUCUGCACCUGCUGACCCCAGCACUGAUCCUGCACUGUGUUAAGAGAACAAUGGAGAUCACUGACACUGUGUCAAUAGAUUUGGAUCAUAGGGUAUAGAGGAAAUAGUUUUCAAGUGAAGUAUUGAAAUUUGGAAGAGGAGGGCAUCACACAGUAUCACAGUGUUGAAAAAGAAAGGGUUCUUGAUGAGGGUUUAGUGGUGAAGGAGUGCAUUUGCCUGGGAGAGGGUAUAAAACAGAGCAGGGUGGAGGGACCAGAGCAGCUGAAGAGUGGAAAAGCAGCAUCAGCACCUUGUCAAGAUGAAAGCCUGGACUACAAGAGCCAUUCUCCUCUCGGUCCUGACAGCAUGUCUUCUGUCAGGGGCUGAUGCAAGGAGCCUCCUUGAUGACUCUGAAGAGCUGGGAGAUGAUGAUUACCAGGCCAGCAAGAGAGAACUGGAUCUCAGCAACACUUUGGAAGACUCAGAGGAGCAGGAAGGAGCACUGGAGAACAAGAGAGCACUGGGUAAGGAA